ACUGUGAGUUUGAUUUAUGAGAACUAUAAGUGAACAAUUUAGUUUUGCGGUAAGAUGAACGUGUUCGAAUUAAAUGUGUGGAAAGGUGAUUGGGGCUUACCGACGAUUGACACGGAAUGCUUAGAAGUUUUGGUUUACGCGAAAAUUAGCGGUGUACCUUUGAAAGUAAAAACUUCUAAUCCAUUCCGAACGCCUAACGGCAGAUUACCCGUAUUGAAAACUAACGAUGGUACGUUCGAUACAGUCAAAAAUAUAAUAGAAUAUUUCAGGGGAAAAAAUUAUAACACAGAAUACGAGUUAAGUCGAAAAGAAUGCGCAAACGUUAUGGCUUACGAUGCGAUGUUAAAAGAAAAAUUAUAUCCAGCGUUACAGUUCAUUUGGUGGAUAGAUGAAAGAAAUGUGAACGAAGUGAUAAGACCGUGGUAUUGUAAAGCACUGCCUUUUCCAUUAAACUUUUAUUACCCAGGAAAAUUUGAACGACAAGCACACGUUAUCUUCGAAAGUUUGUACCCUACAGAAGAUGAUAUAAGCGUGAUAGAAAAUAAGGUCUACUCCGAAGCACAGCAGUGCUUGACGUUACUGUCCACAAGUCUGGGGGAGUCUGAUUAUUUUUUGAGUGAGAAACCUACCGUAUUGGACGCAGUUAUAUAUUCCUAUCUAGCACCGUUGCUCAAAGUUCCACUGCCGAAUUCAGCUCUACAGAAUCAUUUGAGAGCUUGUACGAAUUUAGUAUCUUUCAUAUCACGAAUAUCGGAAAGGUAUUUCGGCGACGAAUGUCGCGAGUACAAAGCCAAAGAAAAUGCCAAGAACGUGAAAGAGACGGAGAACGAGUUUCCUAAUAAGAGAAGAAAUCAGUUCCUUGCCGGGAUUUUCGCUACGGUAGUAAUGACGACUUACGUCGUUUCAUCUGGAAUGUUAGAGAAAUGGAGGCUGGUAAGAAUUCCUCUGAAACAUGUAAGGAAGUAAAAAUGAUCGAGCGUUUUUAAUUCGACUAUGGAUUUGUAUUUGAGAUGACAAGAAAUUGCACGCACCGGUCGAAGACAAUGAAAUUUCGAGCGUACCCACAGAAGAUGUACGUACCGACGACGAGUGAGAUAAUAAAUAUCAGGGGAAUUAA